rnacentral:rRNA from 1 species
UACGGAGGGUGCAAGCGUUACUCGGAAUUACUGGGCGUAAAGCGCAUGUAGGCGGUUUAGUAAGUCUGAUGUGAAAUCCCUGGACUCAAUUCAGGAAGUGCAUUGGAUACUGCUAGACUAGAGUUUUGGAGAGGAGAACGGAAUUCCUGGUGUAGAGGUGAAAUUCGUAGAUAUCAGGAGGAACAACAAAAGCGAAGGCAGUUCUCUGGACAAUAACUGACGCUGAGAUGCGAAAGCGUGGGUAGCAAACAGG